rnacentral:rRNA from 1 species
GACGAACCGUGCGAACGUUGUUCGGAAUCACUGGGCUUAAAGGGCGCGUAGGCGGGUCGCCAAGUCUGUGGUGAAAUCCUCCAGCUCAACUGGAGAACUGCCGUGGAUACUGGCGGUCUCGAGGAUGGUAGGGGCGUGCGGUACAGUUGGUGGAGCGGUGAAAUGCGUUGAUAUCAACUGGAACUCCGGUGGCGAAGGCGGCACGCUGGACCAUGUCUGACGCUGAGGCGCGAAAGUGUGGGGAUCAAACAGG